GUACGAACAAAAGAAUCAUCAGGAGUAAGACGAUAUACAUAUAACAUUGACACCCUGGACUGGUGGACAAAUUAAGCCACAGCCAGAGGGGGUAAGGGAAAAUGAGAACAUGGAGCUCAAACUUGUAUAGCUACCCCAACUGGCAGUGUUGUUUUGCUGUACUACAUUUACCGGGUAUACUAGUAAUGAAUGCUGAGUUUGAGCUUAACUUUUCUUUUUACACCUUGUGAUACUGGAGGAUAUGUAAAACUUGGACAGUAUGUAAACACUGGAACAGAAUUAAGUUUUAU